rnacentral:rRNA from 1 species
CCUACGGGAGGCAGCAGUGAGGAAUAUUGGUCAAUGGACGAGAGUCUGAACCAGCCAAGUAGCGUGAAGGAUGACUGCCCUAUGGGUUGUAAACUUCUUUUAUAUGGGAAUAAAAUGUUCCACGUGUGGGCUUUUGUAUGUACCAUAUGAAUAAGGAUCGGCUAACUCCGUGCCAGCAGCCGCGGUAAUACGGAGGAUCCGAGCGUUAUCCGGAUUUAUUGGGUUUAAAGGGAGCGUAGGUGGAUUGUUAAGUCAGUUGUGAAAGUUUGCGGCUCAACCGUAAAAUUGCAGUUGAAACUGGCAGUCUUGAGUACAGUAGAGGUGGGCGGAAUUCGUGGUGUAGCGGUGAAAUGCCUAGAUAUCACGAAGAACUCCGAUUGCGAAGGCAGCUCACUGGACUGCAACUGACACUGAGGCUCGAAAGUGUGGGUAUCAAACAGGAUUAGAUACCCUUGUAGUC